rnacentral:rRNA from 1 species
UACGGGGGGGCCAAGCGUUGUUCGGAAUUACUGGGCGUAAAGGGCUCGUAGGUGGCCAACUAAGUCAGACGUGAAAUCCCCAGGCUCAACUUGGGAACUGCGUCUGAUACUGGAUGGCUUGAAUUCGGGAGAGGGAUGCAGAAUUCCAGGUGUAGCGGUGAAAUGCGUAGAUAUCUGGAGGAAUACCGGUGGCGAAGGCGGCAUCCUGGACCGAUAUUGACACUGAUGAGCGAAAGCUAGGGGAGCAAACGGG